AUGUCUGGAGAUAAAUGUAAAACAAGUAAAACAAGACCGUGUGAUAAGACAUCUAGAACAAAACCUCAGCGUUUUUGGGACGCAUUAGGACCAUUUCCCAGGUCAGUGUGGAUUCAUCCCAGUACACCAGAAGACAGUCUGGACAGAACCUGUGGUAGAGUAUUGAAGCGCUCUGUUCUGGCCAGUAAGGGAGUUUGGCCGCAUUUACCAGAAAAUGCGCAUGUGUUUGCUGAAGACGGUGACAUCCAGAGCAACAGAGGACAUUACAGCAGUCUGUCCACUCCGAGCGCAGGGCAUCAAAAGUUGGACAAGGUCAUGUUAAUGACUCAGCAUAACAUGACCCAGACUCUACUGCAGGGGCAUGUUGAUGCCACGUGUCCAUGUUUUCCUGAUGAUAGAUGCAGACAUGGUCAUGAACCUGACAAGACCAUAGAGAUCAUAAGCCAGGAGGAGGCUGACAGAGAUAAAACUGAGGAGAUGCUUGAAGAAAUUCAACCUAAACAGGCCACAGGGAAAGCAGACAUCCCUGAGGGGCCCUUGGAAGAAGACUUUCCUCCACUUCCACCUCCUGCCUCACCGCGGGUGGACAGGCCACCACAGCAAGCCCCCGUCAGUAAAAGUGGCUCCUAUAAAGCAACUGUCUUAAAAGGAAAACCAAAGAUCCAAUUGCAUGGCGGCAAACCACAGAGGGCACAAAAACUAAAUCAAAAAGAACAUCCAAGAGUCUCAGCUAAAACAUCCCCAAAAAUAGAAGCACAAACAGCCCAGGGCUUCAUUGACCAACCUAGUUCCCCCCAAACAGAAAGUGGAUGCAGAGAGAAAGUUAUAGUGGAAGAACAAAGUUCAUUACCAAGGUGUUCCCAUCUACCUGUGUUUGCAGACUUCCAAAUGGCAGAUGAGAAGAUAAUACCUAAAGAUAACACAUUUAAAGGUGAAGACGUGGAGUUGGGCAGAAGUGCAGAUGGUGCCCACAUGGCACAAACCCGGGCUGGCAGCGGGACUGGGAGCGUGCAGAAUGCAGCUGGGCCUCUUCACAAUGCCAAAUGCCAUAAAUACCACGAGGAUGCCACUGUUGCAAAGACAAAGGCCACAGGUCCAGGCUCUGACAUGUCAGUGCCAGAAAAUAUGGACAGGAUCCAGACUUGGAACAGAAGUGGAAGGUGUCCCCUACAAAACACCCAGUUCUUUACAGGAACGGGUCAUGGCACGUGGUCACUGCCGGCUAACUGCUUCCUGUGGUUCCCUGCACCUGAGGUGGACCCCUUGCAUAUGGUUGUCAACCCUCUAUUUUCCUCCAGUUUUCUGCCUCCCCCAGGAUUUGGCCUGAAUCCAUACUAUAUUGUUGGAGACUUCUCCCUGUGGCCUUAUCAACAUGGCAACUAUGUCAAUUUUCCAGACAAUGUAAACCCGUCAGCAGCGGGCAGACAGCGCUUCACGUGCCUGGCAAAUGUUCCUCCAGGGUUCACAUCGGCAGAUGCCUUCACAUUGUUCUGACAACCUGUUUUGUUCUACUCUUUUUGUUGUUUUGGCUCUUUUUACUGUUUCUGUUAAUCAUAAGUUGUCAUGUACUCCAUAUUGUAUAUGGACAGUAAAGCAGUUACCUCAGAUAAAAUGUGUUGUGUGAGCAUUUUAUUUUUAAGCAUGUAGGCUUCUCUAUCUGAAGGCUGUAAUUUGUAGGUCUGUCAUAUAUACAACAAAGCCAUUACAUCAAGGUAAUUCACUGGGAGAAAACAAGAUGGAAAUAAAUCAUAAACAGACAUUGAAAAAAAAAUUAUAAAAGUAUGUCAAUAGCAGACUCAAUACAGAUGUUAUUAAAAAGCAUAUAUAAUAUGUAUCUAAAUCAUUGCAGCUCCACUUUGGAAUAUAAUACAUAAUUUAUCAUGCAGAUGAAAUAUUUAGGAUGCAUAUUGAUAUUCUCUUCCUGGGGUUUUUCCUGUCUACUUGCAAUAAAGUUCCUCUCUAAUUUUUGUUUUGUCAUUUGUUUAUAUGUACAGUAUCUCUUUGAUCAGUAGGUGUCCUGGAUUAUAAAAAUGGAACAUAAGAUCAUUACCUGAUGGUGCCAAACAAUAUCACACAGUCUAGAAUGCUGUUGUUUACUUAUAUCAGCAUGGAUGUUAAGUUAAUAUUGAAUAACCUGAACAAGAUGUUAGGCACGAAAAUGGCCAGUUACUUGUUUACAGACACUUCUGUGGCAUUGUUUGGAGCAGUUUUUAGAGCGAAAACUGCUCCAAACAAAGCCACAGAAGCAUCUUUAAACAACACCUAGUCUCUCCCAGUGUUUCUGAAUAAAUCACUCGAGUAAACAAUUAAAUUAAUCAAUCAUAAGCGUGGUCACUUGUGUCAUUCGUGAAUUAAUUAGUGCUUCUGACUCAAUCAGUUGAAUAAAUGAAGGCUCAAUCAAUAGAAGAAAGUCACUUGUUGCCAUCUACUGGCUCAACAAUGUAAUGUGCAAAAAGAGUCUGAAAAAAACAACAGAAAAAAAAAAAACACCAAUAAUGCACAAACCAACAAAAACACAGACAAACAGAAUAAUUUAAAUAUUCACAUGUUUCAAAGCUGUUUCCCGUGCGUUUGCAUUCCAUACUUCUAUGUUUUUUUUUUCUAUGCAAGCAUGUGCUAGAUGGUUUGCACUGGGUUCUCGCAUCUUUUGUGGCAUCUUGCACAUGACAUGGCAAAAGUGUGGCAUUCAAAUUUAAAAUAGGUUCAACAUUAAAAAGAUGCAUCUCGAGUCCCACAUCUCACAUUUCUGCAUUCCACUGCGCUGUUGUUUUAAAAUAUUUUUUUCUAUGUGAACAAGUGCUACACAGAUCUUUUUGACUGCUACGUUCGUGCCUUUAGCAGUAUCCUAAAAACAUGGUGCUCAUGUUAAAAUAAGCUAAAGUUUUUAUUUAAACGCAUCUCGAUAUCUUGUAUUUUGUCCUCAUUCCAUUGCCCCCAUGCUUGUAGCCAGCUGUGAGGUCACUGGCCGAGGUAAAUUUUUCAUAGUCAAAAAUAAAAUUUGUUCUCUGAGUGACUAGUCUGCUGUUUAAAGCUCCUCAUAUGCAAGUAUUAUUAAGUUUAGAGAGCUUGUAAGAAUGUUUAGCGCCCGUGGUAUGAAAAUGAUCGCUGCGAGAUGCUGGCGGAGUGAACGAGGCUUGAGAGAGUUGUGAGGGCAUGGGCGAAGCCUCUGCCUUGUUGCCAGAUCCGCCAUUAGAAGCCUCUUUGGACUCAUCUUUUCCAUUUAACACUUUAGAAAGUUAAUACAGCAGGAAGUUGCAGUGUAGAAUUAACAAUAUCUUUAUCUAACCUUAUUUACAAAAGAUUUGAACUCAUUACGGUUUAUUUUUUAUUCAUUUUUUUGUUUUUUAUUUGUUGUCAUAGCAAUAUCUGGCAACUCUUCAAUGAUGCAAAUGCUCAUUCCACCAAAACAGAAAAAACAUUUUUCACAAACAUCUACGUGUCUGUCUCUUUUAAAGUGUUUAAUGAGUAUGUGGGGUUAUUACAACACAAUUCUUAAACCUACCCCAGACCUCACUACAUUCCAAACCCUGGCCAUGGCCAUGAUUGCCCCAGUCUCAAGUUUUUCAAAGCAGAAACAGUGAUUGUCCAAUCAAAUUCGAGAAUUUGAACAUUGUUUUAACGUUUUACACACACUUCAUGUGUCUGUUGCACAGAAGUAAGGAGAAGAGACUUUCAAAUAAAAUAUAGAUUUUUAAAUAUGAAAAAGGUUUUUUUUUUUUUUUUUUUUUUGAAAAAAAUGAAUUAUUGUUUAAAACUGAGAGGGCAAUCUCACCAUGGAAACUGCACAUUCACUAUUUUUAUUAUCCAAAUGAUGACUUCUUACCAAUAUAGUCAUUUCUUCAGGCACACUUUAGAGGAGGAGGCAGAGGCAAAGCCCGAGAGAGCAAAAGAUGAAGAGAAAGGAAGAAAAACAAAAGAAGAGUAAUGUGUUUUGCCCUAUAUGCCUUUAUCAGCAUUGCCCACUCAGUAUCCCUGGCUCCUGCGGCCUCAUAAAAGCAUUAGACAGUGUGAGUGAAAAUAUGUGUGUUAGGCUCCGCUCUUUUCAAUCAUAACUCAUCAGAGAUCAGCCUCAAAAACAAGAACAAGAGCAAGCGUGCGGUGCAGAAAACAGAGCGGAGAUGGCAGGCUCUGGAAGAGAGAGAGCAGGCCGAGGUGAAUAACUUGAGACUGUAGAGAGCAUUCAAUUAAGACCUGAACUGCAGGCUUCAUUAAGCGUGAGAAGGCAAUGAAAAUGACCAUCCAUCAAAGGGAAAUGCUUGGGCCAAGGCAGCCUGCAGAUACAGCCUCUGUGAUAUGCUUUUAUGACAGUGCAGUCCAGCCAACUCCCAGAAUGCACAGUGGAGUACAGUGCCACCCCACUGCUCUUCAACAUGAAUUCUCUCUCUUUUUCAUGUUCACACACAUAUAUAUAUUAAACUGGUUGUCCCGAAGAUGAAAGCUUUGUCGUUUACUCACCCUCAUGUUAUUUUGCACCCAUACUGUCU
ensembl:lncRNA